rnacentral:rRNA from 1 species
UACGUAGGGCGCAAGCGUUGUCCGGAAUUAUUGGGCGUAAAGAGCUCGUAGGCGGCUUGUCACGUCGGGUGUGAAAGCCCGGGGCUUAACCCCGGGUCUGCAUUCGAUACGGGCUAGCUAGAGUGUGGUAGGGGAGAUCGGAAUUCCUGGUGUAGCGGUGAAAUGCGCAGAUAUCUGGAGGAAUACCGGUGGCGAAGGCGGCAUCCUGGACCGACAUUGACGCUGAGGAGCGAAAGCUAGGGGAGCAAACGGG